ACUCACGCUUGCGGCGUGCUUCACCCCUGCCAGUCGAACGGAAAGGCCCUGCUUUUGUGGGGUGCUCGAGUGGCGAACGGGUGAGUAACACGUGAGUAACCUGCCCUUGACUUUGGGAUAACUUCAGGAAACUGGGGCUAAUACCGGAUAGGAGCUCCUGCUGCAUGGUGGGGGUUGGAAAGUUUCGGCGGUUGGGGAUGGACUCGCGGCUUAUCAGCUUGUUGGUGGGGUAGUGGCUUACCAAGGCUUUGACGGGUAGCCGGCCUGAGAGGGUGACCGGCCACAUUGGGACUGAGAUACGGCCCAGACUCCUACGGGAGGCAGCAGUGGGGAAUAUUGCACAAUGGGCGGAAGCCUGAUGCAGCAACGCCGCGUGCGGGAUGACGGCCUUCGGGUUGUAAACCGCUUUCGCCUGUGACGAAGCGUGAGUGACGGUAAUGGGUAAAGAAGCACCGGCUAACUACGUG
rnacentral:rRNA from 1 species